UUCUAAAUUUUAAAAAACACAAAUCUGAAUAAGAAUGACCAGAUAAGCAAUGGUUUCAGUUUUGUUCUCCCAACUUAUCAUAAUAGGCCACUACUUAGUGUUGAGCAAUGCAUGGCUUAUGCUAUGCUUAUAAAUGACAGAUGUUUGUUGAUAAGUUUAUUGACCAAUUCGAGAAAGAAGGCGAAAAUUAAUGUACGAUAAUGAAUAAUUAUUAUGUCCUCAAUAUGUUUCCAAUUUUUUAAUUAUAAAUUUCAUUUAAUUGCCAAUUUGAGUGUUUUGUUGACGCGAAAUGUUAUCGAUGAUUUCUUUAUAAUAUAAAUUCACUGCAGCUGUGAAAAUUUGAUAAAGAAAAAAAUGAUAAAUCCAACCGAUUUGCUUCUGAGAUUUCAUUUCUAUUUUAGUUUAAAAGUUUACCAAAUGGGAGAGGUGUCAUCAGCAAUGAAUAGUCCAGAUCAUCGAAUUCUGGUGAAUAAAAGCAUACAAAAAAAAUUUAGUAUAUAUUAUGAUGAUAUCAUCGCCCUCAGUAAUUUUUAAUAUCCAUGCCCUCGAAAUAGAAUAAAUGAUAUAAAAAUAAAUGAAUAAUAAUAUACCCAUUUGCAAAGAAUAAAAUGAACAAAUGUAUUUCUCGGUUGAAAUUCUUUUUAAUACGAAUGUUCAUUAAAUAUUUAUAUAGAAAAAACAAAAAAAAUACUUACCCUCCUUCUUUCUGCUUU